AUGCACAAGCUCGUAUCCGUGGCUUUCCUAGUCUUCAUCUCAUGGUCGACGCUGGCGGUCUCUUCCCCGUCCGGAGUCCCUUGCUACCAAUCCAUCUUCAGCUUCGGCGACUCCUUUGCUGACACGGGCAAUAACCCUGUCGUCUUCAAAUGGUACUCCAUCUUCGACCCCGUCACGCGCCCUCCCUAUGGCACCAGCUUUUUCGGCCGCCACACUGGUCGCAACGGCGACGGGCGGCUCAUCAUCGACUUCAUUGCUGAGAACUUGGGCCUACCAUAUGUCCCGCCCAACCUGGCGCACAACGGUAGCUUCCGGCGAGGCGCCAACUUCGCCGUUGGUGCCGCAACCGCAGUCGAUGCUGGUUUCUUCCACAAGAGGGGUAUCCCCAGUGCCACCAGCAAGUUCCCGCUGAACACCAGCUUAGGCGUGCAGCUGGAGUGGUUUGAGUCCAUGAAGCCUUCCUUAUGUCGCACAGCCCAAGAGUGUAAGAAAUUGUUCGGCAGAUCCCUCUUCUUUGUGGGCGAGUUCGGAGUCAACGACUAUCACAUGUCGUUCCAACAGAGAACGGUACAGGAGGUCAGGUCCUUCGUUCCUGAUGUCGUCGCGACCAUCUCCAAGGCCAUCGAGAGGCUCAUCACCAUGCAUGGCGCGAGAAGCCUGGUUGUCCCUGGCGUGAUUCCGUCGGGAUGCUCACCGCCGAUCCUGACCAGGUUCGCUGACGCCUCACCACCAUCAGCAUACGACUCCAGGACCGGUUGUCUGAAAGCAUAUAACGAGCUGGGGUUGCACCACAACUCGCUGCUGCAGGCUGAGCUAGCCAAGCUUCAGGCCAAGCACCGGAAUGCCAGGAUCAUCUACGCCGAUUUCUUUGGCCCAAUCAUGGACAUGGUGGAGUCGCCUCACAAGUUUGGUUUUGAACAAGACGUGCUUACGGUGUGCUGUGGAGGGGCUGGACGAUACAGAUUAAAUUCAACGGUUCCAUGCGGCGAUGCUGCUGCAACAACGUGUCCGGAUCCAUCAGCUCGUUUGUACUGGGACGGUGUCCAUCUGACGGAGGCAGCUAACCGCCACGUCGCCAAUAUCUGGCUGGGCAGCAUAACCUCGGCAACAAGAGUCAGCAGCAGCAAGUGUGCAAAGGGGCCAUAUCGACCAACCAGUUUUAUUGCAGCAAACAAGAUAAAACAUCUCGAAAGAUUGGGGUAG
rnacentral:rRNA from 1 species